UAAGGAAUAUUGGUCAAUGGACGCAAGUCUGAACCAGCCAUGCCGCGUGGAGGAUGAAGGCCCUCUGGGUUGUAAACUUCUUUUAUAGGGGAAGAAACCGGACUUUUCUAAGGCCGUUGACGGUACCCUGUGAAUAAGCACCGGCUAACUCCGUGCCAGCAGCCGCGGUAAUACGGAGGGUGCAAGCGUUAUCCGGAUUCACUGGGUUUAAAGGGUGCGUAGGUGGGCAGGUAAGUCAGUGGUGAAAUCUCCGGGCUUAACCCGGAAACUGCCGUUGAUACUAUCUGUCUUGAAUAUAGUGGAGGUGAGCGGAAUAUGUCAUGUAGCGGUGAAAUGCUUAGAUAUGACAUAGAACACCCAUUGCGAAGGCAGCUCGCUACACUAUCAUUGACACUGAGGCACGAAAGCGUGGGGAUCAAACA
rnacentral:rRNA from 1 species